rnacentral:rRNA from 1 species
AGGCUUAGGUCUCGUUGGUGACCAGCGGAGGGAUCAUUACCGAGUUUUCAACUCCCUAACCCUUCUGUGAACCUACCUAUCGUUGCUUCGGCGGACUCGCCCCAGCCCGGACGCGGACUGGACCAGCGGCCCGCCGGGGACCUCAAACUCUUGUAUUCCAGCAUCUUCUGAAUACGCCGCAAGGCAAAACAAAUGAAUCAAAACUUUCAACAACGGAUCUCUUGGCUCUGGCAUCGAUGAAGAACGCAGCGAAACGCGAUAAGUAAUGUGAAUUGCAGAAUCCAGUGAAUCAUCGAAUCUUUGAACGCACAUUGCGCCCGCCAGCAUUCUGGCGGGCAUGCCUGUUCGAGCGUCAUUUCAACCCUCGACCUCCCCUUGGGGGGGUCGGCGUUGGGGACCGGCAGCACACCGCCGGCCCUGAAAUGGAGUGGCGGCCCGUCCGCGGCGACCUCUGCGCAGUAAUACAGCUCGCACCGGAACCCCGACGCGGCCACGCCGUAAAACACCCAACUUCUGAACGUUGACCUCGAAUCAGGUAGGACUACCCGCUGAACUUAAGCAUAUCAAUAAGCGGAGGAA